AUGGUGAAUUUCACACAAGUGGAGCUCCGAGAAAUGAUGGGCAAGAAAAAUAACAUUCGUAAUGUGUCUCUUAUUGCCCAUCUGAGCCAUGGCAAGUCUACCCUUACAGAAUCUCUUGUGGCAGCUGCUGGGAUGAUUAGACAUGAAGGUGAUGUUGAAGUUCCCAUGGCUGACACUCAUGCGGAUGUAGCACAGCCUGCGAUGUCCAUCAGAUCUGCUGGCACUUCUCUUUUGUAUGAGAUGAACAAUGAAUCGUUCAAGUCUUACAAAGGUGAAAGAGAUGGCGACCAAUACCUGGUCAACCUUAUUGAUUCGCCUGGGCACACCGAUUUUUCUUCAGAAGUCACAACUGCUCUCCGUGUUACUGAUGGUGCUUUGUUGGUAAUUGAUGCAAUCGAGGGUGUCUGUAUGCAAACUGAAGCUGUUCUCUGCCAGGCCCUUAAUGAGAUGGUUAGACCUAUUCUUUGUGUCAACAAGAUGGACAAGUUAUUCCCUGACCUCCAAGUUGAAAGUGCAAACCCUGAAUCUGUAGGGCACAAGUUAUUUUCUGGGCUCCAAGAUGAAGGUGCAAAACCUGAAUCUAUGGGUGAGCGAGCCUACAAGAUUCUGUCAAAUGUCGUUGAAAAUUCCAAUGAAAUUAUGAAAGCACAUGGUGCUGAGCGCCUUGGUGAUGUCCAAGUCUACCCUGAGACCUCCUCUGUUGCCUUUGCUUCUGGUUUACAUGGUUGGGCAUUUACCAUCGCUAGCUUUGCUAAGAAGUAUGCCUUAAAAUGUGGAGUCGAUGAAACCAAAUUUGCAAAGAGGCUUUGGGGUGAUAAUUUUUAUGACUCUGCCAAAAAAAAAUGGACCAGGAAGAACAGUGGCUCCGACAAUUGUAUUAGAGGCUUCGUACGGUUCUGCUAUAAUCCAAUCGACACAGUUCUCAUGGCCUGCAUGAAUGACAAUAAGGGUGAAUUGUGGGAUCUUUGCCAGAAGCUUGAGGUGAGCUUGAGGGAUGAUGAGAAGGACCUAACAGGCAUGGCUCUUGUGAAGUGUGUCAUGCAAACUUGGCUCCCAGCCAGUACUGCUCUGCUUGAGAUGAUGAUCUGCCACCUCCCCUCUCCGUUAGAAGCACAGAAAUAUCGUGUGGAGAACCUGUAUGAGGGUCCCCUUGAUGAUAAAUACGCAGAAGCUAUUAAAAAGUGUGAUCCUGAAGGUCCUCUUAUGCUGUACGUUUCCAAGAUGGUCCCAGCAUCUGAUGUGGGCAGAUUUUUCGCGUUUGGUCGUGUCUUCUCCGGAAGGAUUGCAGCUGGCAUGAAGGUCCGGGUCAUGGGGCCUUCCUAUGUCCCCGGCAUGGAAACUGAUUUGCACGUGGAGUCUGUCCAGCGUACCAUUAUAUGGAUGGGAAAGAAGCAAUGUGACGUUCCGGAUGUUCCUUGCGGUAACACUGUUGGUUUGAUUGGUCUGGAUGCAUGCAUAACAAAGAGUGCUACCCUGACAAGCGAGAAGGAGGUUGUUGCACGCCCAAUCAGAGCGAUGAAGCUCUCUGUAUGCCCUCUGAUGUUUGUUACAAUUAACUGCAAGGUUCCGUCUGAGUCUCCCAAACUUGUACAAGGUUUGAAGCGUCUGGCGAUGUCUGAUCCCGUGGUUCUGUGGAGCAAGGUAGAGCCUGGUACUUACACAGUUGCUGGAGUGGGAGAACUUCAUCUGGAAAUUUGCUUGAAGGAUCUACAGGAAGAGUUUAUGGAUGGUGUUGAAGUUGUUUCCAGUCCGCCUGUUGUUUCCUUCCGUGAGACUAUCUGCAAGUCCUGUGAUCCUGUGGAGAGGAUGUCCAGAAACAAACAAAUCCAAUGCAGCUUGUCUGUGGUAGCCCGCCCCUUGGAUGAAAACCUAGUCGAGGCUAUUGAAGAUGGUCGCUUGGGUCCACGUACUGACCAUGCGGUACGAUCUGAGAUCCUUGCUAAGCAUGGUUGGGAUAAGGAUCUCGGUGAUAACAUUUGGUGCUUUGGUCCUGAUGCUGUUGGCCCGAAUGUGAUUGUUAAUAGGUGCAAUAAUAUAAUACAGAAUCUAGAGUUAGCGAAGAAAGUUAUCGUGGCUGGCUUCGAGAUGGUGGGAAAAGAAGGCGCAUUGGCAAAAGAAAAGUUGCAUGGCAUAUGCUUUGAGGUUCAUAAUGUUAAUAUACAUGCUGAUGAAGCUUUGAAAGGUACAACUGCUCAGCUCAAUAAAAUGGUUAGGACAGCACUUAUUGAGUCUCAGCUCGCCGCCAAACCAAGGCUUCUCGAACCCACCUACAUUGUGGCGAUCCAGUGCCCUAAGAGUGCCCUCAGCACUAUCUACGGAAUUCUCCACCAGAGGAAUGGUUCUGUGUAUGAGGAGUUUGUGAGAGAAGGCACGAUGCUACACAUCCUGAAGGCUUACGUUCCAGUUUAUGAUUCCUUUGGCCUCUCCAAGGCAAUCAGUGCUGCAACAUCUGAGCUGGUCACCCCGCAGUGUAUUUUUGGAUAUUGGAGCGACAUGUGCUCUGAUCCUUUCCAGGCAAAUGCGCCAGCCGGGCAAAUGGUCUUGGAUAUCCGCAAGAGGAAGAAGAUGGGCAGGCCCUCUUUCCAGAAGUAG
rnacentral:rRNA from 1 species